rnacentral:rRNA from 1 species
ACACAUGCAAGUCGAACGGAGCUAUUGAGCUUGCUCUUUAGCUUAGUGGCGGACGGGUGAGUAACGCGUGAGCAACCUGCCUGUUAUGGGGGAUAACUUCCGGAAACGGACGCUAAUACCGCAUAUGUACAUAGCUCGCAUGAGCAAGUGUAUGAAAGGAGCAAUCCGCUGACAGAUGGGCUCACGUCCGAUUAGUUUGUUGGUGGGGUAAUGGCCUACCAAGACUUCGAUCGGUAGCCGGGCUGAGAGGCUGAUCGGCCACAUUGGGACUGAGACACGGCCCAGACUCCUACGGGAGGCAGCAGUGGGGGAUAUUGCACAAUGGAGGAAACUCUGAUGCAGCAACGCCGCGUGAGGGAUGAAGGUUCUCGGAUUGUAAACCUCUGUCCUUAGUGAAGAAUUUUUUGACGGUAACUAAGGAGGAAGCUCCGGCUAACUACGUGCCAGCCGCGGC